AAACUUACCAGGUCAAGACAUGGGCGUGAUUGACAGGCUAAUGACUUUUCUCGAUUCCAUGGAUGGUGGUGCAUGGUCGCACUUAGUUGGUGCAGUGAUUUGUCAGGUUUAUUCCGGUAACGAACGAGACCUCGGCCUUGUAAAUAGCUAUGCUGCUUACAGGGACAUUGGCGGCUACGCCAAGGAAGCUCGAGGCAAUUGCAGAUCUGGAAUGCCCUUAGAUGUCCUGGGUCGCACGCGUGCUACAAUGACGCCACGAACGAGCUUGCGUGAUGAAAGUUACGCAUAAUCAGCAGUCGGCGUCUUAAGGGAUAGUCUCUUGUAACUGUGGGACUCCAACUAGGAAUGUCUCGUAAGCACAAGUCAACAUCUUGUGUUGAUUACGUCCCUGCUCUUUGUACACACCGCCCGUCGCUCCUACCGAUCGAGUGUUUAGGUGAAUUUGAUCGACGUAAGCAAGUCAAAUAAACCUGAGCACUAGAGAAGAGAAGUCGAUCAUG
rnacentral:rRNA from 1 species